rnacentral:rRNA from 1 species
AACGAACGCUGGCGGCAUGCCUAACACAUGCAAGUCGAACGAUACCUGCCGGUCUUGUGGCGCUGGAGUGGGUACCGCGGGGGAACUUUCACUUAGGUUCGGAAGAAUUCCCCGAUAUGAGUCUUAAUACCAGAUAGUGUCUUCGGGCCAAGGAUUUACCCAUGCUGUAUGGGCCCGCGUUUGUUUAGCUCCUUGGUAGGGUAAAAGCCUACCAAGGCGUCGAUCCCUAGCUGGUCUGUUCGGAUGGGAGGCCACACUGGGCAUGAGACCCGGCCCAGACUGCUACGGGAGGCAGCAGUGGGGAAUAUUGGACAAUGGGCGCAAGCCUGAUAACGCCACGCCGCGGGAGUGAUGAAGCCUGUAGGAUUGUAAAGCUGCUUUACCCGAGAUGAUAAUGACAGUACCGGGAGAAUAAGCACCGGCUAACUUCGUG